rnacentral:rRNA from 1 species
GUCUAUGGCCAUACCAUCCUGAAAGUACCUAAUCUCUUCUGAUCUCAGAAGCUAAGUAGGGUUGGACCUGCUUAAUACUUGAGUAGGAGAAAAAAGGAAACAGAGUUG